rnacentral:lncRNA from 1 species
AAAUAAACACCUAGUUAAAAUGGCAUAAAGCAUUACUUCAAUGUUAAUUGCAUCAUUCUGAUUUUGUAAAUUGCAUAUUGUGUUGUAAGAUGCCACUUUAAAGGAUGGAAAAGUUUUAUCAUGUAAUCCUGAAUUAAUAACACAAACAUACAGUGUGGAUAUUUCUUUCCGUUUCUUUUUUGUUGUUGUCGUUGUUUUUUGAAAAAGUCUCAUUCUGUUGCCCAGACUGGAGUGCAGUGGCACAAUCUUGGCUCACUGCAACCUCUGCCUCCCAGAUUCAAGUGCCUCAGCCUGCCUCAGCCUCCUGAGUAGCCGGGAUACAGGCGCCCGCCACCACACCCAACUAAUUUUUGUAAUUUUAGUAGAGAUGGGGUUUUGCCAUGUGGGCGAGGCUGGUCUC